rnacentral:lncRNA from 1 species
CGAAAGGCCAUGCCUCAGGUUGGACCGUCUUCCAUAUAUCUACUGACUUCAUAUAAAUGAAAGUGUACUGAGGACUCACUAAUCUGCACUACCAGUAACAAAGUAAUCCGACAAUCAGACUGGACCCGGUCAUGUUAGAUACCAGUGGAAGGAGAUGAACAUACAAUUGACUCCGCAUCGAUGCAUGACUUCGCCCGGAACGCGGCAAGAACCAACAAUGGAAGAAAAACUACAGACGUGUUUAUUAACAAUAAAGUUAUUUUUGUUUUUAUGAAAUAGCGAUUGAAUAAAAAUAUUAGGUAUAUGA